CACAUCACGUUAAAACACCAGUUCCUAUACGAUCACCAAUGAUAAGCAACGUGGAGCCUGGUCAGUACAUACAUGGGUGACCGCUUGGGAAUACCAGCUGCU